UCCGGUGUGGUCUAGUGGCUAGGAUACCUGGCUCUCACCCAGGAGGCCGGGUUCGAUUCCCGGUACCGGAA
rnacentral:tRNA from 1 species